rnacentral:misc_RNA from 1 species
GAUGAAGAACGUAGUGAAAUGCGAUAAGUAAUGCGAAUUGCAGAAUUCCGUGAGUCAUCGAAUCUUUGAACGCACAUUGCGCCCGCCAGUAUUCUGGCGGGCAUGCCUGUUCGAGCGUCAUUUCAACCAUCAAGCCCCCGGCUUGUGUUGGGGACCUGCGGCUGCCGCAGGCCCUGAAAACCAGUGGCGGGCUCGCUAGUCACUCCGAGCGUAGUAAUACAUCUCGCUCAGGGCGUGCUGCGGGUUCCGGCCGUUAAAAAGCCUUAUUUACCCAAGGUUGACCUCGGAUCAGGUAGGAAGACCCGCUGAACUUAAGCAUAUCAAUAAGCGGAGGA